UCGGGGCAAACCUAAUCCGGCAAAUUUUGUCGGCAUAGAUCUUUGCCGACGACAUUUCGUCGGGAGAAGUGUUCAUGUGUUUUUUUUUUUUUUUUGAAAAGUAUAAAGUUUAAAAAUAUGGAUAUGUUUAAACUAGCAAAUUAAUAUCUAUAAAGUACAAGCUAAUGCAACUUGGAGGGUCCUUCUUUCUUUUAUUUAUUUAUUAAAUACUAU
rnacentral:lncRNA from 1 species